CAGCCUCAAACUCCUGGGCUCAGGCAAUCCUCCUGCCUCAGCCACCUGUGUAGCUGGGACUACAGGCGUGUACCAUCAUGCCUGGCUAGUUUUUACAUUUUUUCAUACAGACGAGGUCUCACUAUGUUGCCCUUACUGGUUUCAAACUCCUGAGCUCAAGUGAUCCUCUUGCCUUGGCCUCCCAAAGUGUUAGGAUUAUAGGUAUGAGCUACUGUGGCCAGCU
rnacentral:lncRNA from 10 species